rnacentral:miRNA from 12 species
CUCUUUUCAGUGGUGCCCACUAACGGGACCAGAGGCAAUGGGCACAAACUGAAACACAGGGUGUUCUGUCUGAACA